GCCUACGGGACGCAGCAGUGGGGAAUAUUGCACAAUGGGCGAAAGCCUGAUGCAGCAACGCCGCGUGAAGGAAGAAGGCCUUUGGGUCGUAAACUUCUGUCCUUGGGGAAGAAGAACUGACGGUACCCAAGGAGGAAGCCCCGGCUAACUACGUGCCAGCAGCCGCGGUAAUACGUAGGGGGCAAGCGUUAUCCGGAUUUACUGGGUGUAAAGGGAGCGUAGACGGCUGUACAAGUCUGAAGUGAAAACCCGUGGCUCAACCGCGGAACUGCUUUGGAAACUGUAAGGCUGGAGUACUGGAGAGG
rnacentral:rRNA from 1 species